UGGUGUUCCUGUGGUCAGCAUCUAUUAUGGAGGCCAUGUGAUACAUACACUAAGAACAAAGAACACCACCGCUGCGUACAUCUUUGCUCUAAAAAAGUGCAUAUUCAGAUAUGCAAUAGUGGAAUAAGAGAUAUCAUUAUACCCUUUCUCAUCAAUGACUAAUGCCCAUCUUCAUGAAGAUCUUCCUUCUGGUGGCUCUGCAUUAGCACUGGCCAUUUAGCUUGGCAUUAGGACAAGAUGCUCCAACCCUAAAAAUACUUUUGUUCACAAAGUGGUUGUUGAGUAGAAUCCGCAGUAUUUUACUGGCAGAUUCAGGACAUAUUUGUACAGUCUUGAUCUUGGCUGAGGUACCUAGGCAUUAUAACAAGACAAAUAAGGAGCAGUGAUCCAGAUAAAAAUAACACUGAGGUAAUAAGGCUGUGGGGCAGUGAAAUGAAUAGAAGUUUCAGCAAGCAAUGGAAAAGGCAGAAGAAUCACAGCCCCUGAGAGAAUGGAAGUUGUCUCUCCUCUAUUUUCCUCUCAGUUCUACUCCAGGUACAUUCUUUUUCCCACUACGCCAGUUCAGCACUAUGCAAUUUUUUCCUCCAAAUAAAAUAAUGGAAACUCAA